rnacentral:rRNA from 1 species
UGGGGAAUAUUGGACAAUGGGCGAAAGCCUGAUCCAGCCAUGCCGCGUGAGUGACGAAGGCCUUAGGGUUGUAAAACUCUUUCGUCGGGGACGAUAAUGACGGUACCCGAAGAAGAAGCUCCGGCUAACUUCGUGCCAGCAGCCGCGGUAAUACGAAGGGAGCUAGCGUUGUUCGGAAUCACUGGGCGUAAAGCGCACGUAGGCGGAUAGUUAAGUCAGGGGUGAAAUCCUGGGGCUCAACCCCAGAACUGCCUUUGAUACUGGCUGUCUCGAGGUCGAGAGAGGUUGGUGGAAUUCCUGGUGUAGCGGUGAAAUGCGUAGAUAUCAGGAGGAACACCGGUGGCGAAGGCGGCUCUCUGGACGGUGACUGACGCUGAGACGCGAAAGCGUGGGGAGCAAACAGGAUUAGAUACCCCAGUAGUCCCUGAGCGGGCUGGCAAGGCGCAU